GCGGAUGUGGUGGAAUUGGCAGACACGCCAGAUUUAGGUUCUGGUGCGAAAGCAUGCAGGUUCAAGUCCUGUCAUCCGCACCA
rnacentral:tRNA from 2 species